rnacentral:rRNA from 1 species
AGGCGGAGGCUUACACUGCAAGUCGAGCGGGGGAAGGUAGCUUGCUACCGGACCUAGCGGCGGACGGGUGAGUAAUGCUUAGGAAUCUGCCUAUUAGUGGGGGACAACAUCUCGAAAGGGAUGCUAAUACCGCAUACGUCCUACGGGAGAAAGCAGGGGAUCUUCGGACCUUGCGCUAAUAGAUGAGCCUAAGUCGGAUUAGCUAGUUGGUGGGGUAAAGGCCUACCAAGGCGACGAUCUGUAGCGGGUCUGAGAGGAUGAUCCGCCACACUGGGACUGAGACACGGCCCAGACUCCUACGGGAGGCAGCAGUGGGGAAUAUUGGACAAUGGGCGCAAGCCUGAUCCAGCCAUGCCGCGUGUGUGAAGAAGGCCUUAUGGUUGUAAAGCACUUUAAGCGAGGAGGAGGCUACUUUAGAUAAUACCUAGAGAUAGUGGACGUUACUCGCAGAAUAAGCACCGGCUAACUCUGUGCCAGCAGCCGCGGUAAUACAGAGGGUGCAAGCGUUAAUCGGAUUUACUGGGCGUAAAGCGCGCGUAGGCGGCUAAUUAAGUCAAAUGUGAAAUCCCCGAGCUUAACUUGGGAAUUGCAUUCGAUACUGGUUAGCUAGAGUGUGGGAGAGGAUGGUAGAAUUCCAGGUGUAGCGGUGAAAUGCGUAGAGAUCUGGAGGAAUACCGAUGGCGAAGGCAGCCAUCUGGCCUAACACUGACGCUGAGGUGCGAAAGCAUGGGGAGCAAACAGGAUUAGAUAC